GGGAGGAUCCAUAAAUUGUGUCGUUGUAUAUGACGAGUCAAAUGUCAUGCCUAAUUUUCGUAAUGCGCCGUGUGUGACGUCACCUCCAGUCUGAAGAAAUGGAGCUCGAAAACCCUAAUUCAACAAUGAAUUCUGUAUGUUGCUAUGUGUAUGAAGGAGGUAUCUUUGGUAACCAGCCUCUCUCUGCCAAAAUUCAACGGAAGUAUUUGUCCAAUAGUCGUAAUCCAUUUUGUGCCUGUACAAAUAAAUUUUUAUUCGUAAAAACAAUGUCGUCUAACUUACAGAACUUGAAGAAAAUACGUGACAGUGUGAGAGGCGAUUUCAUUCCCUCUGUUGUAAAGUUCGUUAACCAGUCGAUAGUUUGUGCCUUCGUGAGUGACGUAGAAUGUCAUCCCGAUGUUGCAGCCUAUCAAUUGGCGUUCUUAAAAGGAUACAUCACGUCAGCCACGGCAUCGUCGAACGUGAGGAAUACCAUUUGCGGAAUUUCUUCCGGCUUCAAACCCAUGGGAGGCAUCGUGCUCAUGCACAAACAAUCAGGUGGGCGUUGCAAGUGUAGGCUCCGCAACCAGCGUAUGGAUUAGCACUAAAAGUGCAGCAAGGUUUUAGCAGCGGAAUGCUUAAUUAGUCUUAGACGUCCGACAGUAUGUCGUGCUCGUUGCUACGAGGCAGGAACUAAAUCGAGCAGUCCAGGUCUGGCAUUUUUCUACAGAAGGACUUAAACGGACACAGAUGCGACAGAAGUUUGACAAACAUCCCUGGUGUCCAUAUCUUUAGACAACUCCCCUCGCCUGUAAAUUUGAACGUUUUUCGAAACAUCUGUUUCUGCGAUAAAACCAGAAUCACAACGUUUCAAUACCAAAGAUAUGGAAACGUAAGAUCUGACCCACAAUUCAGAAUGUAGUAGGAGUCAAUGUUUGUUUUGCCUUUCUAUGGGAAUUUUCACGAGCGCGUCACUAUAGGCCAACAUUUAGGUUCUACAACAAUCGUUUGAUUCAGUAUAUUUCACACAGUUGCAACCUGAUGCGACGGUGACGCUUCUAGAUCGCAGUCCUGGCAUGUUCGUCAUGUGCAGGACAUCCGGGAAUAAAACGUAUCGUUUUAUUUCACACGAUUUUGGUAGAUGUGAGAAGUGACUGUGUCGAUUGCGAUGAAUAUGGUGUCACGAAGAAAUCAUUAAUGUCUUUAUAGACAAUAAUACUUGUUCGAACGAUCCAACACGAAAUCGGGGAUAUUUUUGGUUGAGUGAUUCACGCGAUGAAAAUAUGGUGCUCUCAUUUAGCAUUCGGUUGGAUAGCACAUGCUGCCUUGAUACAGAUCGGAGUGGGCCAUUGCCCUUCGUGCGAGAAGUUCCAAUGACACAAUCUCAUUUAUUUUUUGGUCUUGCCACUGGACGUUCCCCACGACCUGGGCAUGUUGUGCAUGAAAAAUAAUACUAAAAUUGUGAUGGUAAACAUCUGCUGUUAAACUCCUUGAGUUUGCAGUAAGUGGCAGAAUUCAAUCAUAAUUUUGUUUAUUAAAAUCCAAACUUCCAUUUCAGCCGACAGAAUUGCGUUGCUCUUCCGCUUUCACCGUAAGUUCUCUCCAACAGGAAAGCAAAUACUAUUUGUUUUUCUUAUUCAGCUGAAAUAGUGUUUCUUUAUUUUUUUAAACGAUUGUUAUUAUUUUUUGUGUACAAGUAUAUGUACGUACGUACAGACUACGAACAUUAUUUCUCUGUUGUCUCAGUCAAUUGAAUCAACUACUUGAGCGCAAGGAUGUUGACUGGAAGGGAGAAAGCCAAAUCGUGCUUCAAACUUUGUGUCCAGCUGAUUUUAUGCUGCGUGACUUUAAUUGCAAUUCUGUCAGCUGGGAUCAUAUCAAAGGGGUCUAUUUGCUUCAUAAUUUCGUCCAUGAGCAGAGACAGAACUGUCUCCAAUGAUUCCGAUUCUUUAUACCAACAUGCUGAACGAUUCGCUUCGUGGAGCAUUUUCUUCAGUUUCGAAGUUUCUGAAUUAUUCGGUUUUCUGCAAUCGCUGCACGUUUGUUUGUUUCGCCGGGGUUGUUGAAAGCCUCCUCGUUUUGCAGAUUUUAUGACUGUGUUUCUAUUUGAGACUGCACAGGCCAUAGGAAUGGCUUUGCUAUUUGGUUCCGUUUGAACGUGUUUUUCGGCGGUAGGCCUACACGGUGUUUUGAUCACCAAUUGCCUUUAUUUGAUACCUGUCCUGUUCAAUUUCCUAUCGCGGAAACCUGACAAACCCAAGCGAGUGGCUAAAAUGACGAUGGAUGGAUUUGCAUUUCUUGCGCAGUUGACUGGCUGUUUGCAUUGGACCUUAAUCUGAGACACAACGACCCUGUUGAGGAAUAGCUACGAUUCCAGUUUCAUCCAGUCAGUGGAUGAUGGACUGGUUUCGUCAAGUUUGUGACAGUUUAACUUCAGUGGGGGGUUACAUUUUCAACCUCCAGAAGGGAUACUGUUUAUGGGGAUGGGUAAGAAAGUCUUUUUUCCCGGAAUUUUUUGAGUGGAUCGUUCUCUUCUCUCUCAAAGUUCAAGGUUUUUCAGAAUAGGUAAUCGACCAAAAUCGAUCAAAGGCUUUCAUAUUUUGAUACAAGUUGUUUUUUAGUCUUUACACGGACAGUGUCAUGUUCAGUUUACAGCCAGGAAUCCAACCGUGCACAAUCGCACAUGGUUUUCCUGGAAUGGAUGUGUACAGCUUGAAUUUUUCUUUAAAACAAUGGCUUUAACGUGGCCACAGACUACUGUACAUGUGUUAACUAGUUCGUCUCGACGUUCAUUUAUCCCAACUUUCAAGUGAACUUUAGUGUGGAUAUCUUUAUUUAUACUACGUACCUUACAAACAUAAGGGAGUACUCGAUUUAGCAAGUUCAUAAAUGCAUGGAGUUAAAAAGAAAAUGUUUUCAUUUGUAUGUGUUCUGUAAAACGUUAACAGUACAUCAGUGUUUCUGAUU